GACGAACGCUGGCGGCGUGCCUAAUACAUGCAAGUCGAACGAGUGGCGGACGGGUGAGUAAUGUCUGGGCAACUGCCCGAUGGAGGGGGAUAACUACUGGAAACGGUAGCUAAUACCGCAUCCCAUCGGAUGUGCCCAUAUGGGAUUAGCUAGUAGGUGGGGUAAUGGAUCACCUAGGCGACGAUCCCUAGCUGGUCUGAGAGGAUUACCAGCCACACGGGAACUGAGACACGGGCCAGAAUCCUACGGGAGGCAGCAGUGGGGAAUAGUGCACAAUGGGCGCAAGCCUGAUGCAGCCAUGCCGCGUGUAUGAAGAAGGCCUUCGGGUUGUAAAGUACUUUCAGCGAGGAGGCGUUACUGGCAGAAGAAGCACCGGCUAACUCCGUGCCAGCAGCCGCGGUAAUAC
rnacentral:rRNA from 1 species